rnacentral:rRNA from 1 species
GAUGAACGCUGGCGGCGUGCCUAAUACAUGCAAGUCGAGCGAACGGACGAGAAGCUUGCUUCUCUGAUGUUAGCGGCGGACGGGUGAGUAACACGUGGAUAACCUACCUAUAAGACUGGGAUAACUUCGGGAAACCGGAGCUAAUACCGGAUGAUAUUUUGAACCGCAUGGUUCAAAAGUGAAAGACGGUCUUGCUGUCACUUAUAGAUGGAUCCGCGCUGCAUUAGCUAGUUGGUAAGGUAACGGCUUACCAAGGCAACGAUGCAUAGCCGACCUGAGAGGGUGAUCGGCCACACUAGAACUGCAACAGGGUCCAGGCUCCUACGAGAGGCAGCAGUAGGGAAUCUUCCGCAGUGGGCGAAAGCCUGACGGAGCAACGCCACGUGAGUGAUGAAGGUCUUCGGAUCGUAAAACUCUGUUAUUAGGGAAGAACAUAUGUGUAAGUAACUGUGCACAUCUUGACGGUACCGAGUCAGAAAGCCACGGCUAACUACGUG